AAUUAUUUUACAACAAUAACUAAAUUGAAAUGAUGAAGUAUAUAUUUAUUUAUGCUCAGAAAGUAUAGUUUUAUUUUUUUCAUCUUUUGCCUAUUUUGAUCUUUCACUCUACUCUAAGGGAGAUGCAGCACACUGACACACCAUAGCUCGAAGUCUUGUGUUGUGUUGUGUUGUUGGAAUGAGUUUAAAGAACAUUGCCC
rnacentral:lncRNA from 1 species